rnacentral:snRNA from 1 species
GUGCUGCCUUUGGCAGCACAUAUAUCUAAAAUUGGAAUGAUAGCAGAAAAAUUAGCUGGCCCCUGUGCAUGAUGACACUCAAAUUUCGUGAAGCAUUUCCAUAUUUU